GACGAACGCUGGCGGCGUGCUUAACACAUGCAAGUCGAACGAUAAUGCCCAGCUUGCUGGGUGGAUUAGUGGCGAACGGGUGAGUAACACGUGAGUAACCUGCCCCUGACUCUGGGAUAAGCGUUGGAAACGACGUCUAAUACUGGAUAUGACUGCCGGCCGCAUGGUCUGGUGGUGGAAAGAUUUUUUGGUUGGGGAUGGACUCGCGGCCUAUCAGCUUGGUGGUGAGGUAAUGGCUCACCAAGGCGACGACGGGUAGCCGGCCUGAGAGGGUGACCGGCCACACUGGGACUGAGACACGGCCCAGACUCCUACGGGAGGCAGCAGUGGGGAAUAUUGCACAAUGGGCGAAAGCCUGAUGCAGCAACGCCGCGUGAGGGAUGACGGCCUUCGGGUUGUAAACCUCUUUUAGUAGGGAAGAAGCGAAAGUGACGGUACCUGCAGAAAAAGCACCGGCUAACUACGUGCCAGCCGCCGCAGUAAUAC
rnacentral:rRNA from 1 species